GGGCCUGUAGCUCAGCUGGCUAGAGCACCUCGUUUGCAACGAGGGGGUCAGGGGUUCGAAUCCCCUCGGGUCCA
rnacentral:tRNA from 1 species